rnacentral:rRNA from 1 species
GACGAACGCUGGCGGCGUGCCUAAUACAUGCAAGUCGAACGCAGUGGGGACGGGUGAGUAACACGUGGGUAACCUCCCAUCAGAGGGGAUAACACUUGGAAACAGGUGCUAAACCGAUACUGAUGGAUGGACCUGCGGUGCAUUAGCUAGUGGGGGAGGUAACGGCGCACCAAGGCCACGAUGCAUAGCCGACCUGAGAGAGUGAUCGGCCACACUGGGACGGAGACACGGCCCAGACUCCUACGUGAGGCAGCAGUAGGGAAUCUUGCGAAAUGGGCGAAAGUCUGACCGAGCAACGCCGCGUGUGUGAAGAAGGUUUUCGGAUCGUAAAACUCUGUUGUUAGAGAGGCGGUAUCUACCCAGAAAGCCACGGCUAACUACGUGCCAGCAGCCGCGGUAAUUC